AGGCGUCGACGGGUAGCCGGCCUGAGAGGGUGACCGGCCACACUGGGACUGAGACACGGCCCAGACUCCUACGGGAGGCAGCAGUGGGGAAUAUUGCACAAUGGGCGCAAGCCUGAUGCAGCAACGCCGCGUGAGGGAUGACGGCCUUCGGGUUGUAAACCUCUUUUAGCAGGGAAGAAGCGAAAGUGACGGUACCUGCAGAAAAAGCGCCGGCUAACUACGUGCCAGCAGCCGCGGUAAUACGUAGGGCGCAAGCGUUAUCCGGAAUUAUUGGGCGUAAAGAGCUCGUAGGCGGUUUGUCGCGUCUGCUGUGAAAUCCGGAGGCUCAACCUCCGGCCUGCAGUGGGUACGGGCAGACUAGAGUGCGGUAGGGGAGAUUGGAAUUCCUGGUGUAGCGGUGGAAUGCGCAGAUAUCAGGAGGAACACCGAUGGCGAAGGCAGAUCUCUGGGCCGUAACUGACGCUGAGGAGCGAAAGGGUGGGGAGCAAACAGGCUUAGAUACCCUGGUAGUCCACCCCGUAAACGUUGGGAACUAGUUGUGGGGUCCAUUCCACGGAUUCCGUGACGCAGCUAACGCAUUAAGUUCCCCGCCUGGGGGAGUACGG
rnacentral:rRNA from 1 species